CGCUGUAAUAUAAUGUUGCGAACAGAUAACCGCUUUUGUUUCAUCCGCAUUCAGCAGUAUCAAAUUCGUAGGUGCGCAUAUGAAGAACCGUGGAUGCGCAUGCACAACAUUUCUCGCUCUCGCUACUUUAACAGGAAACAUCAGGAAAUGUUCUUGCUUUCGUUGCCUUUACCGUAAGAAAAAAAAAAUUCUUGGAACCAGAGACCACGGCGAAGGAUAUAUCACGCUAUAUUAACCCGGAACGUGCCACCUCCCCUAACGUUACGCCGACAUUCCUUGAAAUCGUCUAUUCCGGCAUAUGCGCGUGCAUCGGAGUGCUGUAUGUUUGUAUAUGCGCAUGCGUAGUCACAUGCAUUUGCACGCCUGCGCAUACCACUCGACUUGAAGAAGCAAUGUAUAUACAGAGCAACUAUGUGCCACGUCGCAUGCUUGUCGUACUCGUCCGGACGUGCUGUCCUUCCAAAGAGCUGUUUUUUCGGUGUUCAGGCGGGGAAAGCACUCUCUGAAUGCGGAGGGCUGGAUCGAAACUGCGCUCCCACUGGUUGCCAGAGGACAUUGAAGUGUAGCGGGCACACGAGCUCUUCGAAGAACUCUGCCUGAGGAUUGUUGGCAAAUUCCGAGGUGAUUACCGAGGCAAAACGCAGGCAAGAGCUUGCGGGGACAAGCAACGAACAAAAGAAACAGAAAGAAGGAAACCGUUGCCUGCAUUUCGGGAAGCCAUGCUCGGAGUACUCUUUCCUGCUGAAACUGUGCCCCCGCGGGCGCUUCGAUAUUUCAAAAGAACGGGAAUGAGAUCCCGUUUCAUCGGCCAUCGGUUGUGGCCCGAUGAUGGCGUCCAUCUCGACGCCGCCUCAAGAACUGAUACACUUUUGUGCCCGCCUCGAUGCACUCCGUUAUACUUGAGAUUUCAGGCAACUACGAGCUGACUUGGUAGCCUCUGUAUAGAUUUUGUUGGAACCGUUGAAUUGGAGCCGUUUCUACCCAUUUCUGAAUAAACACUACGUUCGCGUUUCUCAUUUUAUUCA